rnacentral:lncRNA from 1 species
AUGAUGGGUAUGAUGAGCGCAACCGAGCUGGACUGCAAGGAUGCACUGGCUCCUUUGGGAAUGUUGUUCUUGGUGACAUCGGGCAUCUUGGUCAUGUUGGAACUCGCACCGCCAGCUCUGGUCGUAGCAUUCAUGGCAGGGGACUGUGUGGUAGUGUUUUGCGCCGGGCAUCUUGGUCAUGUUGGAACUCGCGCCGCCAGCUUCGGUCAUAGCAGUCACGGCAGGGGACUUUGUGGUAGUGUUUUGCGCGUGGACCUAAAACAAGCAUGGGAGCGUCACUGACUGAGCAUUGGCCACAAAGUUCACAUGUGAAACUAUUUAAAAAUUAAAUAUGAAACAUUUGACAAAUCGGCACAAUUCCCAAUACAUCAUACUUUCGUCCGACUAAUUUCAAGCUGCAAAAAAACGCAUGCGUAAAGUUAAGAUCUAGCCUACAUAAGGUGUAGGUAGUCCUGUGCCUAAGAAAAUAACCCCACGGCAAAUAUGUUUCCCAAACAAAAUGCACUUCAAAUAAAAUGUCAUUAAAUUAAAUCGAGCCCUCACCUUGUGGGAAAUGUGUUCAUAGCAUAUAGGUCAACUGUAAUUCCUGGAUUCAAAAUUGCGACCCCUAAGGCACGUUAGAUUUCGAAUACAUUUUGGCGUUAUAAUUAGACUCAUCUGAGGAGAAGUAGCCACGCCAUCAUUAGGUUCUCAAUGAGAAAACCCACCAAUAGCCAAUAAACCCUAAAUUUAGAUUCAGUAUGAUCCAUUUAUGGUUUCAAAAGCCAAUGUUGCACCUGUUGAAAUGCAUGUAUUAUACACAAUGGACACUAAUUAAAACAGAUUAGAAACAAACAUGGUAAAGUGUAAGUCAAUUCAUAAGACCUUAACCUACCUGUGAUGAACAAGGCAAGGCAAGGAGAAUGAAUCCAAUGUAAGCCGUCAACAGUUUAGCCAUUUUGUUGUCGGUUUCUUUCUCAGCCGCUUAGUGUCACUGUCCUGUCGAUGGCUUUUCACAGUGAAUGACUGGAGGACAAAUCUAAGGGAUUUUAUACCCCCACCAGUGACGUCAGGUCAAAAAGGCGCAUCCCCAAAACCACCUGUCUUAUCCUCCAAUGGAAACCUACACUUUAUCCGAAACCUCAUCAUAAACCACACCACUAAGACCUCUUCUUUGACAAAAUAUAAGGGUGUGACUUUCAGCAAUACAAAUACUUGCCUUUGUUUUAUUAAUAAUGGGCUUUUUUUAGGCCUAUAUGCCUGUAACGGUCAAUGAAUAUCCCUAUUAAUUCACAGGU